UACGUAGGUGGCGAGCGUUGUCCGGAUUUACUGGGCGUAAAGGGAGCGUAGGCGGACUUUUAAGUGAGAUGUGAAAUACCCGGGCUCAACUUGGGUGUUGCAUUUCAAACUGGAAGUCUAGAGUGCAGGAGAGGAGAAUGGAAUUCCUAGUGUAGCGGUGAAAUGCGUAGAGAUUAGGAAGAACACCAGUGGCGAAGGCGAUUCUCUGGACUGUAACUGACGCUGAGGCUCGAAAGCGUGGGGAGCAAACAGGAUUAGAUACCCGGUA
rnacentral:rRNA from 1 species